UGGGGAAUUUUGGACAAUGGGCGCAAGCCUGAUCCAGCCAUGCCGCGUGCGGGAAGAAGGCCUUCGGGUUGUAAACCGCUUUUGUCAGGGAAGAAAUCUUCUGAGUUAAUACCUCGGGAGGAUGACGGUACCUGAAGAAUAAGCACCGGCUAACUACGUGCCAGCAGCCGCGGUAAUACGUAGGGUGCAAGCGUUAAUCGGAAUUACUGGGCGUAAAGCGUGCGCAGGCGGUUUUGUAAGACAGAGGUGAAAUCCCCGGGCUCAACCUGGGAACUGCCUUUGUGACUGCAAGGCUUGAGUGCGGCAGAGGGGGAUGGAAUUCCGCGUGUAGCAGUGAAAUGCGUAGAUAUGCGGAGGAACACCGAUGGCGAAGGCAAUCCCCUGGGCCUGCACUGACGCUCAUGCACGAAAGACGUGGGGAGCAAACAGGAUUAGAUACCCUGGUAGUCCACGCCCUAAACGAUGUCAACUGGUUGUUGGGAAGGUUCCUUCUCAGUAACGUAGCUAACGCGUGAAGUUGACCGCCUGGGGAGUACGGCCGCAAGGUUGAAACUCAAAUGAAUUGACGGGGUCAUAGCUGUUUCC
rnacentral:rRNA from 1 species